UUGUAAUUUGCAGAGGAUGCUUUUGGUGAGGUGCCUUCCGAGUUCCCUGGAACGGGACGCCAUAGAGGGUGAGAGCCCCGUCUGGUUGGAUACCGAGCCUCUGUAAAGCUCCUUCGACGAGUCGAGUAGUUUGGGAAUGCUGCUCUAAAUGGGAGGUAUAUGUCUUCUAAAGCUAAAUAUUGGCCAGAGACCGAUAGCGCACAAGUAGAGUGAUCGAAAGAUGAAAAGCACUUUGAAAAGAGGGUUAAAUAGUACGUGAAAUUGUUGAAAGGGAAGCACUUAUGACCAGACUUGGCCCCGGUGAAUCAUCCAGCGGUUCCCGCUGGUGCACUUUGCCGGGGUUCAGGCCAGCAUCAGUUCGCUCCGGGGGAUAAAGGCUUUGGGAAUGUGGCUCCCUCGGGAGUGUUAUAGCCCAUUGCGCAAUACCCUGUGGCGGGCUGAGGUUCGCGCUUUAUGCAAGGAUGCUGGCAUAAUGGUCAUCAGUGACCCGUCUUGAAACACGGACCUUAAUUAAUUUA
rnacentral:rRNA from 1 species